rnacentral:tRNA from 1 species
GACCCCGUAGCUCAGUUGGAUAGAGCAUCAGAUUCCUAAUCUGAGGGUCACAGGUUCAAAUCCUGUCGGGGUCACCA